rnacentral:tRNA from 1 species
GCCCAGGUGGUGAAAUUGGGAGACACGCCAGAUUUAGGUUCUGGUACCGCAAGGUGUGGGGGUUCAAGUCCCUUCCUGGGCA